AUUGGAAAGCCAUAUGAUCUUUUUUAUUUUUGUUUUUGAGACAGGGUCUUGCUUGGUUUCCCAGGCUGGAGUGCAGUGGCGCGAUCUUGGCUCACCACAACCUCUGCCUCCUAGGUUCAAGAAGUUCUCCUGCUUCAGCCUCCCGAGUAGCUGGGACUACAGGCACGUGCCACCACGCCCAGCUGAUUUUUGUAUUUUUAGUAGAGACGGGGUUUCACUAUGUUGGUGAGGAUGGUCUUGAUCUCUUGACCUCGUGAUCUGCCCACCUUGGCCUCCCAAAGUGCUGGAAUUACAGGCAUGAGCCACCGCACCCGGCCAGAUGUCAAUUUUUAUUGCCCCUAAUCAACACUGUCUGGAGGUGCUUACCAGCACAGUGAUUUCCUGAAGGAAAUAUAAUGAUCUGUUCAUCGAAGUAGAAGAUAUUGUUGGCCACGUGGGAUCGAAGACCAAAAACAUGCAGCGUCUGAGCUACCACGGCUGACAUGAUCUCCCGCCAAAGAGUUCUGCUGAAGACCAAGGCAGCACUUCAGAGUGGAGAGCACCGCCCCGCUCCGACCCCGCCCCCGC
rnacentral:lncRNA from 1 species